CACAUGCAAGUCGAGCGGUGCAGCUGGAGGCUUCGGCCGAAGGCUGCAUCGCGGCGGACGGGUGCGUNACACGUAGGCACGUGCCCCCUGGAGGCGGAUNGCCGCGGGAAACUGCGGGUAAACCGCCAUAGNCUCGGGNGNGUAAAGGCCGGAAGGCGCCAGGGGAGCGGCCUGCGUCCCAUCAGGUAGUUGGUAGGGUAACGGCCUACCAAGCCGACGACGGGUAGCCGAUCUGAGNGGAUGGUCGGCCACAAGGGCACUGAGACACGGGCCCUACUCCUACGGGAGGCAGCAGUGGGGGAUAUUGGACAAUGGGCGAAAGCCUGAUCCAGCGACGCCGCGUGGAGGACGAAGCCCUUCGGGGUGUAAACUCCUUUUGUCGGGGAAAAAGGGCUGAUGGUACCCGACGAAUAAGCCCCGGCUAACUACGUGCCAGCAGCCGCGGUAAUACGUAGGGGGCGAGCGUUACCCGGAAUCACUGGGCGUAAAGGGUGCGUAGGCGGCCGCGUGUGUCUGGCGUAAAAUUCCACGGCUCAACCGUGGGUAUGCGCUGGAAACUACGUGGCUUGGGUGCGGCAGAGGCAGACGGAACUGCUGGUGUAGGGGUGAAAUCCGUAGAUAUCAGCAGGAACGCCGGUGGAGAAGUCGGUCUGCUGGGCCGUAACCGACGCUGAGGCACGAAAGCUAGGGGAGCGAACCGGAUUAGAUACCCGGGUAGUCCUAGCCGUAAACGAUGCUCACUAGGUGUGGGGGCGGAAGCCUCCGUGCUGAAGCAAACGCGAUAAGUGAGCCGCUGGGGAGUACG
rnacentral:rRNA from 1 species